AUGAAGGGGUACUUGGCGUGUCCGAGGUCUCCGGCCGUAGUGGUACUUGGUGAAAGGGAUCUCUGGAGGCGGCCUUGCGUCCCUGGAUUCGGUGACCUUGACAACGAUAAAAAAAAGGCAGCGGGGCAGCAUCAUGUAGAUGACGUAGGUGAUGGAGAGCUCAGCAAGAGGCGUCACAUGCAGGAAGCGGAGCCGGCUGGUCGACAUGGCGAGGACGAUGGCGAUUGUUGCUGGGGCUCCUGUUGGACGCGGAGGACGACGGAUGCGGGCGCUCGUGGUGGCACUGGGAGCGUGGCUCCAGCGAUGUUGCUCGCUGGUGGCGACCAGAGACAGAGGCAGGGUCUCGGCGAGGUUGGCGAGGCCGAGGCGGCGAGGCACGGUGCCAUGGCGAGGCGACGCCGCAGAAGAAGGCGCGACUGGUGGCGGAGGUCGCCGGGCGACGUGUGGACGAGACAAGGGGCCGCGGAGGAGUUCCUGAAGUAG
rnacentral:rRNA from 1 species